rnacentral:rRNA from 1 species
AUACAGGGUGACAGCCCCGUACACAAAAGCGCAUGUGCUGUGAGCUCGAUGAGUAGGGCGGGACACGUGGUAUCCUGUCUGAAUAUGGGGGGACCAUCCUCCAAGGCUAAAUACUCCUGACUGACCGAUAGUGAACCAGUACCGUGAGGGAAAGGCGAAAAGAACCCCGGCGAGGGGAGUGAAAAAGAACCUGAAACCGUGUACGUACAAGCAGUGGGAGCACCCUUUGGGGUGUGACUGCGUACCUUUUGUAUAAUGGGUCAGCGACUUAUAUUCUGUAGCAAGGUUAACCGAAUAGGGGAGCCGGAGGGAAACCGAGUCUUAACCGGGCGUUAAGUUGCAGGGUAUAGACCCGAAACCCGGUGAUCUAGCCAUGGGCAGGUUGAAGGUUGGGUAACACUAACUGGAGGACCGAACCGACUAAUGUUGAAAAAUUAGCGGAUGACCUGUGGCUGGGGGUGAAAGGCCAAUCAAACCGGGAGAUAGCUGGUUCUCCCCGAAAGCUAUUUAGGUAGCGCCUCGUGAAUUCAUCUCCGGGGGUAGAGCACUGUUUCGGCUAGGGGGCCAUCCCGGCUUACCAACCCGAUGCAAACUGCGAAUACCGGAGAAUGUUAUCACGGGAGACACACGGCGGGUGCUAACGUCCGUCGUGAAGAGGGAAACAACCCAGACCGCCAGCUAAGGUCCCAAAGUCAUGGUUAAGUGGGAAACGAUGUGGGAAGGCCCAGACAGCCAGGAUGUUGGCUUAGAAGCAGCCAUCAUUUAAAGAAAGCGUAAUAGCUCACUGGUCGAGUCGGCCUGCGCGGAAGAUGUAACGGGGCUAAACCAUG